UGUAGCGGUGUGUCUGUGGGACGUGGGAUUGACAAGGGUUUCUGGGACAGAGAAACUUUAAGUGAAAUCUGGUAAGGAAGGGGUGAAAAAAAGGAAAGAUUUCUACUCCAUCAAGGGAGGGGACAUUCUUUCAUGAAAGAAAAGCCAGCACUGCAGAGUCAGAGAACCAGGUUCAAAUCUCAGCUCUGUCACUUAAUGGUGCAACAUCAGACAAGGGUUUUAACUUGUCAUUCCAAGGCUCUAUUCCCUCAUUUGUAAAACGGGUAUACAAAUAGUACACCUACAGAGUGGUACUGAGGUUUAAAUGAGGUAAUUCUAUGUUUACUGCCUAGUGCAGGGUCUGACACAUAGCAAGGAGUUACUGAAUAAAUUAUAGCUGUUGUCAGUCUCAGGGUGCAGGGGAUCUCAUUGUCUAAGGAAUCUGAAAGUCAUAUCGGAUAUCAUUAACAUGGUUUACGGACAGCCUUUCCACAAUCUCACAGACUCACUUUGUUGUCUUGGUCUGUCAUGACAGGUGGUGGUGUUUGCUUCCCUUCCCUUCUCCUCUCUGCCUUACAAUUCUGAACACCAUGUUUCCCUGUCACUGUAAUUGUUCUGAUUUAAUCAUUAACCAACUCUAUGCUUUUAAUGUCUUUCUUCUAUAAAUAAGCUCAUGGCAAUUAAUGGCGACUCAUUGAAAAUAGGACGUAUAAAUUUGUCAGAGCCAGACAUUAUAUAAAUGUAAUAAGAGGACUCUGGUUUUGCAUAGUGAAGGACCCAUUAACCAAAUAGUAUUCUUAGAAGCAGGAACCAAAGUCUAUAUUGCAAACCCACGUAUUAAUGCCACUAUUGUUCCUUAAUAGGCCCUAAAAGAUGUUUUGAUUGCUAUAAAACUCUCAGUGUUAUUGUGCAACUAACAAAUCUCUUUUCACCAGCAGUGCCAUUAAUGUAUCUUUGAGUGGUGUCUUAGUGCUCUUAGCCAGAUGGACUGAGAAUGACAGUACUGCUCAGGACCCAGCAAGCUCCAGCUUCAACCACCAGCAUCCGCUGUGAGUUGCAUCCACAUAUCCCCUCAUUUGUAGUCUCCAUCCUGGAAACUGGCAUGGCCUUAGGGAAUCUCAACUUGGCAACUGUGGAUUUCCGGACACCAGAAGUGGAGCAUCCUAGAGGAGUCACAAGUCCCUUGAUCUAGCUCACAACGGACAUCUGUGACAGAGACAUGGCAACUCUUCAGCUCUGGUGGAAGUGACUGCUGACAGACAAUCCUACAUCAAACUUGGCACACGCAGAAGACUGGCCAAUGCGGCUGCUGCAUAGCUGGGCAGACAAGUGGACUCUCCAGAAUCUACCUCCUAGCAUAAUUGGAAGGAUAUGAAAUGGACAGGCAGAAGUCCUUACACGAAUCAUAGAAAUGGUCAACAUGCAUCUAAUUUUACCCAUUGAGCAAAGAGAGCUAAAGGGGGUAAGUUCUUUUGAGAAGAACCUAAAUGUGUUUAAAGGGAAGAAUACUACAUUAGACUUUUGGGGUUUUUUCCCUGAAUGGAAUAAAAGGAUAUAUGGAACUGAGGGGAGUGGGAGGGCAAGUGUCCAUUCAGCAAACACCCAUCACUUGUGAACAGUUCUAUCAGGGUGGUGUCGGUGUGGACCACUGGUUUAUCUUUGGCAGUGAUCUGAUGUUUUAGGCAUCUAGAGUGAGAUUACAUAGCUGGCUAGUGGCUGGGAAUAGUGAGCGAAUAUAGGUUUUACUUUCACUUCACAGCAAAUGGCGAGGAUCACAGAUGUAGCACCUUAGUUUGUACUGCCUCUGUACCUGAACCACCUACGGCUGUGAAGCCCCAGCUUUCGGAGGGCAAGCUGGAUUCUUAGAUAGCUCCUCUGUGAUUGCUCUAGGACUGCAGUUGCUCCAAUCUAAGGGUGGUUUUCUUAUUAGAGAAAGUAAGUACUCGAUGCUAAAUAUGAGACUGAAGCUUUGAAGACAUUUUAUAGUGGUGACAGGUGUUUUGGUUGAGGAAUAGGUUCUUUAACAAGUCAAAUGCUUAUUAUCCCCCUCUUAAGCAUUAACUUUUUUUUUAAGCA